AUGUUGCCAAAGGUGACCAGAAGCAUCAUACAAAAUAUGGCAUCUAAGUCAACAGAAACACAAGAUGAUAAAUGCAAUCGUAAAACCCAGGAAUCGGACAAAACUCAUCGCAUAAAAAUCAAUGAAGUCACCACUGAACAUCUAUUCAUCUCACGAAGGAGAAAGAGAAAUAUCGAAGAAAACUUGAAAGGGAGAAAUCACGUUUUUUCGACCAAGAAAUCGGGUAAGGGAGUCGGUUACGCGAGGGGAAAGUAUAUGCACCCCACACAUCGUAGUACUCUACGGUAUCCACUCUUGUUGUUUAGCUAA